UUUCUGGAUUCCAGAAGUACAAUAACCCAGUACUACCAUCAAUUAAGCCCUUCCAAGGUUGGGGUAAAUUUGGAUCAUCAGGUGCAUAACGAGGUCCUAAGGAAGCCGUAGCUGCCUCAGGAGUUGUCAUACUUGAGCUACCUCAAACAAUUAACUUCAGGGAAGCUUUGUGUACGGCGAGCUCCGGGUGCCGAGUGCCGACGGAAGAGGAUUGUACGCUUAAUUUG
rnacentral:misc_RNA from 1 species